rnacentral:rRNA from 1 species
UACGUAGGGCGCGAGCGUUGUCCGGAAUCAUUGGGCGUAAAGAGCUCGUAGGCGGCCGGUUGCGUCUGCUGUGAAAUCCCGGGGCUUAACCCCGGGCGUGCAGUGGAUACGGGCUGGCUGGAGGCAGGCAGGGGAGAAUGGAAUUCCCGGUGUAGCGGUGAAAUGCGCAGAUAUCGGGAGGAACACCGAUAGCGAAGGCAGCUCGCUGGGACGGUACUGACGCUGAGGCGCGAAAGCGUGGGGAGCGAACAGG